rnacentral:rRNA from 1 species
GACGAACGCUGGCGGCGCGCCUAACACAUGCAAGUCGAACGAGAGAGAGGGAGCUUGCUUCCUCGAUCGAGUGGCGAACGGGUGAGUAACUCGCGUGGAACCUGCCUCAAAGAGGGGGACAACAGUUGGAAACGACUGCUAAUACCGCAUAAGCCCACGGCUCGGCAUCGAGCAGAGGGAAAAGGAGCAAUCCGCUUUGAGAUGGCCUCGCGUCCGAUUAGCUAGUUGGUGAGGUAAUGGCCAACCAAGGCGACGAUCGGUAGCCGGACUGAGAGGUUGAACGGCCACAUUGGGACUGAGACACGGCCCAGACUCCUACGGGAGGCAGCAGUUGGGAAUAUUGCACAAUGGGGGAAACCCUGAUGCAGCGACGCCGCGUGGAGGAAGAAGGUCUUCGGAUUGUAAACUCCUGUUGUUGAGGAAGAUAAUGACGGUACUCAACAAGGAAGUGACGGCUAACUACGUGCCAGCCGCCGCAGUAA